GCGCCUGAAGGCAGAGCAAGGACGCUGCUCUAAGACACCUGGUUCGUCAGCAGAGCGGAGGCUGCAGAAACCUACCCAAACCCACCUGAGGCUGCUUUUGCCACCCGGGAACCCGGGCAGAAGCCUUCGGGGCGGUCGGAGGUGGUUUGGAAGUGGCAUCGCCUAUGGUCAAGACCGAGGGUUCUGCGGACAGAGAGGAGCCCUGGGUUCGCUUUCUGCCUCAUCCAGCUAGGUGACCUUGGGCAAGGUAUAUCAAAGCUUGUGAACUGUGCAUAGAAGCCCAGCCUUUAAGAGGACACAUAAAGGCCAGUCCUGUGUCUGUUGCAGAAGUCAGAGAGCAGAAAGGAGGCAGCGCUGGAGCCGGUCCCAGGCAGCUGCUGUUAGGACAAAAGCAAAACAAAAUUCUUUCGUCUGUUUCCCACAUCAGCACUGACGGCAUGACCUUUGAUCUAUUUGUAAAAUGAAGACAAUAACUUGUUUUUUAUGGGGCAAGGAUUUUAUGGUUAAAAUUCAUUAAUUACUCAUUGAAAAGUCUUUGGGAUCCUUGACAUGAAAGGCAUUUAUUUAAACAGAGCUUCCCAAAGGUACAUGUCCCCGCAGACAUAGAUGUGUACUGUUUUGCCAGAAUACAAGACCUAGGAGAGUGGAUCUAGCCUCCUACAACGUAAUACCACCAGUUGUAAGUCACCUGCAGACCAGGUGAGCUCAAGCAGUUGGCUGACUCCCUUUGCCUGCAGCCUGAAGUUUGCAUGAAGGGCCCCCCGUUUCUGGGCAGCCGUAUUUGAUGACGAUGAACAUCCUGGGAGGUCUGUUAUUUCAGGGCUUCAUCCCUGCAGGAGGAAAGCAGGUGUCUUCACUGAGCUCACUGUGAUAAGAACCCUCCAGAGUGAGCCGUCAGCCAUGAGCACUCCUGGCAUAGGUUCUUUCCAGAAAGGCCUGGGACGUGUGUCAGGAGAAGGUGGACGGGACUCAAAAAGCCCCUGUGGAAAUUGAGCCUUUCCUCACACAGACAUCUGGGAAAGGGACCCAAAGAGCACAGACACACUGCAGGGCCACCUCACGCAGGGCACACAUGGCCUUUGUCCCUUCUGUACCGGAGGGAGCAGCAGCAACGGAGUGUGUGUGCUGACUGAGGAGAGAGCCAUCCAGUCAGAUCUCACUGCUAGAACCCCUUCACUAACCCUGUCAGCCUCAGGGCCUCAGCUGUGGGUCAGGACAAGACACCAAUCUGUCAGGGUUACUGGGGACCUCAUGGCCAGUGUUUAUAAGCUCAAAACUCCGUUAAAACUGAGCACAUUUUACAUUUUACUUCCUUUAAUUAAAUUAAAAAUUUUUUUGUGGUACUGGGUUCUGACCCAGGACCUUGAGCUUGAUAGAUAAGCAUUGUACUGCUAAGUUCCACUGCCAACCCUCUUUUUACUUAAGUUUUAAAUACAGGGUCUCACUGCUGGCCUCCAACAUGCACAUGCAGAGGUGAGCACACACACACACACACACACACACACACACACACACAC